rnacentral:ncRNA from 1 species
UACAUUUGCAUCCGCAAUAGGUUCAUCCGCCAUUGAUUAAAAAGGGAAUCAGGUGAAACUCCUGAACAGUCCCGCUGCUGUAAGCGGUUGUUGUCUAAAAUGCAUCAUGCCACUGAACUUUGUUUGGGAAGGCGCAUUUUGGAAAGCCGUAAAGUCAGAAGACCUGCCAUUGCGUAAAUAUUAUU